AUGCUCACUUCUGCACACAUAUACUGAAAUUGGAAUGAUGUAGAGAAGAUUAGCAUGGUUCCUGCAUCAGAAUGACAGGCAGAUCAAUGAGGUGUCCCACAAUUUU
ensembl:snRNA U6 U6 spliceosomal RNA